CAAGGAACCCUCAGUAGGCCACUGAGGGCUCUGAAGAAGAGAUCUCCUGAUGGUGAGGACCGCAAUCUCUCGUCGAGAGUGACUGCAUGGUCUGGUUGUUGGAAAACAGACAGUUCAAAGUAUGUAUAUUUUAAACUUUUUUAUAGCGAAAGUAGUAGAUUAAACUAUUUAAUCUCUUACAUAUACUUUAAAUCAAAUAUAAACUACCUUUCUAAUGAUCUAUAACAU
rnacentral:lncRNA from 1 species